CUACACAUGCAAGUCGAACGGCAGCACAUCGUAGCAAUACGAUGGGUGGCGAGUGGCGGACGGGUGAGGAAUACAUCGGGACCUACCUAGACGUGGGGGAUAACGUAGGGAAACUUACGCUAAUACCGCAUACGUCCUACGGGAGAAAGCGAGGGAUCUUCGGACCUCGCGCGGUUAGACGGACCGAUGUUCGAUUAGCUAGUUGGUGGGGUAACGGCUUACCAAGGCGACGAUCGAUAGCUGGUCUGAGAGGAUGAUCAGCCACACUGGGACUGAGACACGGCCCAGACUCCUACGGGAGGCAGCAGUGGGGAAUAUUGGACAAUGGGCGCAAGCCUGAUCCAGCAAUGCCGCGUGUGUGAAGAAAGCCUUCGGGUUGUAAAGCACUUUUAUCAGGAGCGAAAUACCAUCGGCUAAUACCCGGUGGGGCUGACGGUACCUGAGGAAUAAGCACCGGCUAACUUCGUGCCAGCAGCCGCGGUAAUACGAAGGGUGCAAGCGUUAAUCGGAAUUACUGGGCGUAAAGCGUGCGUAGGCGGUGAGUUAAGUCUGCUGUGAAAUCCCCGGGCUCAACCUGGGAAUGGCAGUGGAUACUGGCUCGCUAGAG
rnacentral:rRNA from 1 species